rnacentral:rRNA from 1 species
GACGAACGCUGGCGGCGUGCUUAACACAUGCAAGUCGAACGGAAAGGCCCUGCUUUUGUGGGGUGCUCGAGUGGCGAACGGGUGAGUAACACGUGAGUAACCUGCCCUUGACUUUGGGAUAACUUCAGGAAACUGGGGCUAAUACCGGAUAGGAGCUCCUGCUGCAUGGUGGGGGUUGGAAAGUUUCGGCGGUUGGGGAUGGACUCGCGGCUUAUCAGCUUGUUGGUGGGGUAGUGGCUUACCAAGGCUUUGACGGGUAGCCGGCCUGAGAGGGUGACCGGCCACAUUGGGACUGAGAUACGGCCCAGACUCCUAAGGGAGGCAGCAGUGGGGAAUAGUGCACAAUGGGCGGAAGCCUGAUGCAGCAACGCCGCGUGCGGGAUGACGGCCUUCGGGUUGUAAACCGCUUUCGCCUGUGACGAAGCGUGAGUGACGGUAAUGGGUAAAGAAGCACCGGCUAACUACGUG